rnacentral:rRNA from 1 species
UACGUAGGGGGCAAGCGUUGUCCGGAAUCAUUGGGCGUAAAGAGCGCGUAGGCGGUCCGGUAAGUCCGCUCUGAAAGUCCGGGGCUCAACCCCGGGAGGCGGGCGGAUACUGUCGGGCUAGAGUCCGGAAGAGGCGAGUGGAAUUCCUGGUGUAGCGGUGAAAUGCGCAGAUAUCAGGAGGAACACCAAUGGCGAAGGCAGCUCGCUGAGACGGUACUGACGCUGAGGCGCGAAAGCGUGGGGAGCAAACAGG